rnacentral:rRNA from 1 species
AUUGAACGCUGGCGGCAUGCCUUACACAUGCAAGUCGAACGGCAGCACGGGUGCUUUCACCUGGUUGCGAGUGGCGCAAGGGUGAGUAUUACAUCUGAACAUGUCCUGUUGUGGGGGAUAGCCCGUCUAAAGCCGGAUUACUACCGCAUACUAUCCACGGAUGAAACCGGUGGACCUUCUGGCCUCGCCCUUUAGGGUUGUCCGAUGGCUGAUUACCUCGUUGUUGGGGUAAAGGCCUACCAAGGCUACGAUCAGUAGCUGGUCUUAGAGGACGACCAGCCAAACGGGGACUGAGAAACGGCCAAGACUCCAAGGGGAGGAAGAAGUGGGGAAUUUUGGAAAAUGGGCGAAAGCCUGAUCAAGAAAGGCCGCGUGUGUGAAGAAGGCCUUCGGGUUGAAAAGCACGUUUGAAGGGAAAGAAAUCCUUGGGUCUAAUAAAGUCGGGGGAUGACGGUACCGGAAGAAUAAGCAACGGCUAACUACGUG